rnacentral:rRNA from 1 species
UACGGGGGGAGCAAGCGUUGUUCGGAUUUACUGGGCGUAAAGGGUGCGUAGGCGGUCGGGUAAGUCGGAUGUGAAAUCUCAGGGCUCAACCCUGAAACUGCAUUCGAUACUGCCUGGCUAGGGUACUGGAGAGGAGACUGGAAUUUACGGUGUAGCAGUGAAAUGCGUAGAGAUCGGGAGGAACACCGGUGGCGAAGGCGGGUCUCUGGGCAAUUCCUGACGCUGAGGCGCGAAAGCGUGGGGAGCAAACGGG